UGAUUCCCUACAUAUAAAUGUGCUAUCGCCUUUGUGCGGCAUAUCUUAUUUAUCAUUGUGUUACUAGUGUAAUGGUUAUUAAUAGAAUGUGUAAGUUAAAUGUUAUGAUUUGUGUGGUUAUGUACAUGGCAGUAGUUGAAUGGCAUCCGCAUAGACUAUUAAUCUAUGAAAGGUGUGUAGUAUGGUCAUAUUGCAUUUGUAGUAUAUAUUUAUGUGUUUGUUCUGAGCUGACACAUUGGAUUUGUGUUAUCUUGUUGGUGUUUGAUUCCCUCGACCGAAAUGUGCAAUCUGCUUAGUGAGUCAAAGCUUAUUUCUAAAAGUUUAAAUUGGCUGUGGAAGGUAUCUAGAAUUCAGAAGUGGAAGGGUAGAGUUGAGUGGUUUGGGUCAUGGAAGAAACGAGGGACUAUACGCUCUCAGUUAUGUUUGCACAUCAAAACUAUU
rnacentral:lncRNA from 1 species